rnacentral:lncRNA from 1 species
GGGCCGCGGGCUUGGCUGUAGUUGGGGGGGAGGAAGUGGCCAGCUCAGGGCCUCAGGGGGCAGAUGGGGGAGAUGACAGGCUUAGAUGAGACUCGAGGGGGUUGGGGUGUGAGACUAAGAAAGGUUAAAGAGGAAACGAGAUCUUGGGGAACGUAUGGUGGGGAGAGCUGCGUUGAAGGUCCCCGCAGUGACCCAGGGGAGGACAGCCCUUUAGCCCUGGCUGUCGCUUCCUUCUGGAGAACGGGAACUUGGCCUCUAGGAGGGCACCGCUCCUGCGUGGGCCGAGCGAGCCCCGUGCCCUGGUUUGUGUGGGAGGAGGAGAGAAGUUAGAAGCAGGAGGAGAACAGGAUCUCAACGCCCUUACUGGAGAGGAAGCGGAAUUGGGCAUUUGGCUCCCUGAGCAUGAUCAGGAAGGAAGGCAGUGGGGUGCAGGGCCCCAGGAGGGCUGGGAGGGCAGACCUCGAACUCGUCAAUGUCAGCAGCCCCCUUUUUUUUCAGAGGGUUGUGAACCCGCGUGGGGAUGAGGCCUGGUCUUGUGGAUACUGAACUUAGCUUCGCGGGCCUGACAGCUCUGGCCCAGGGUGGUAUGUAAUUUUGGUUCGGCCUGGGACAGGGUCCAGGCCAUGCCCAGCCUGGUGAACCCCAGUCCUGGGUCACACACCAGUCCUGGGUGUGAGGUCAGACCCUUUGUCGGAGGUAAGGGUGGUCUCAGGAGUGAGUGAGGUAGGGUGCGAGGUAGGGUGCCAUCAAAGCGGUUACUGGUGUGGCGCCUGACGCCUGACAGGCUGGGGCUGCUGAGGCAGGAUAUUUGUGUGUGUGGGGACAAAAUUGACCCAAGCUUUAUUUUCCAGGUGGCAGUGCUCCCCUUUGGACUUUUCCUCUAGGUUCCGUGCUAACUUCUUCUGUGAGCUCACUCUGCCCUUCCUCCUCCCUUUAACUCUCUUGAGGUUAUCCAUUCGUUUAAAACAUUGCUUCUGGUAACCUGGUAAGCCUGGGAAAGUUGGCAACGGCCUUGAGAAGUUCGGUUAUGUCGGUAAUCGUGGAGGAGGAGAGGCACGCCCUGCUGAGACUCGGGGUGGGGUGGGGUGGUCUUGCUUGCCUGCGGAGAGGGUGGGGACUGAAUGUGUACCCUUGGGUGGGCCUGCAGCGACGGCACCAGCUGAAAGUUACGAAAUGCCUCAUGGACCAUGGUUUGUUACUAUAGUGUUCAUCGUGGUGAUCAGAUGGCACCAGGAGAAAUGGAGCCCAUGGCCAGUGUGAGUCGUAGCAGUGCAGGAGGGGAGACCCUGAAGGAGAGAGCCCGCCUAAGUUGAUGUCUGCAGAUUGAAUUUCCAGAGGCUUAGGAGGUGGAAGUUUCUCCAGUGUCCUGUUUCCAGGCCUUGCUCAGGAAGCCCUGUAUUCAGGCAGCCACCAUUUAAGGUUUUCAGAUGAGCUCAUGAGGGGGCAAUCAUUCAAAGUCCAAAGCAGAUGCAUCGGGCCAUCAGCAGAUCUGUUGCUUUGAAUGUUUGAUCC